UUCGCCCUUAGAGUUUGAUCCUGGCUCAGGAUGAGCGCUGGCGGUAUGCUUAACACAUGCAAGUCGAACGGGGUUACCGGAUCGGAGGCUUCGGCCAAAGAGCUGACUAACCUAGUGGCGGACGGGUGAGUAACACGUGAGCAACCAACCUUAUACACAGGAAUAACACUGGGAAACCAGUGCUAAUACCCGAUAUUAUUUAGACAAGGCAUCUUGAUUAAAUGAAAGAUUUAUCGGUAUAAGACGGGCUCGCGUCCGAUUAGCUAGUUGGUAGGGUAAUGGCCUACCAAGGCGACGAUCGGUAGCCGGACUGAGAGGUUGAUCGGCCACAUUGGGGCUGAGAACGGCCCAGACUCCUACGGGAGGCAGCAGUGGGGAAUAUUGGGCAAUGGAGGCAACUCUGACCCAGCAAUACCGCGUGAAGGAAGAAGGCCUUCGGGUUGUAAACUUCUUUAGACAGGGAAGAAAGAAAUGACAUUACCUGUAGAAUAAGCCACGGCUAACUACGUGCCAGCAGCCGCGGUAAUACGUAGGUGGCAAGCGUUAUCCGGAAUUACUGGGUGUAAAGGGCGCGUAGGCGGGUGUGCAAGUUAGAUGUGAAAACCUGGAGCUCAACUCCAGACUGGCAUCUAAAACUGUACAUCUUGAGUGUCAGAGGGGAAAGUGGAAUUCCUAGUGGAGCGGUAAAAUGCGUAGAGAUUAGGAGGAACAUCGGUGGCGAAGGCGACUUUCUGGCUGACAACUGACGCUGAGGCGCGAAAGCGUGGGGAGCGAACAGAAGUAGAUACCCUGGUAGUCCACGCCGUAAACGCUGAUUAUUAGGUGUAGGGGGUAUCGACUCCCUCUGUGCCGCAGUUAACGCAAUAAGUAAUCCACCUGGGGAGUACGGCCGCAAGGUUAAAACUCAAAGGAAUUGACGGGGGCCCGCACAAGCAGUGGAGUAUGUGGUUUAAUUUGAAGCAACGCGAAGAACCUUACCAGGGCUUGACAUCCAAAGAAUCCUGAUGAAAGUCGGGAGUGCCUUAGGGAGCUUUGAGACAGGUGGUGCAUGGUUGUCGUCAGCUCGUGUCGUGAGAUGUUGGGUUAAGUCCCGCAACGAGCGCAACCCCCGCUAUUAGUUGCUAACAUUGAGUUGAGCACUCUAAUGGGACUGCCCGUGACAAGCGGGAGGAAGGUGGGGAGGACGUCAAGUCAUCAUGCCCUUUAUAUCCAGGGCUACACACACGCUACAAUGGUCAGAACAAUAGGUUGCCAAGCCGCAAGGCGGAGCCAAUCCUCCAAAUCUGGCCUCAGUUCAGAUUGCAGGCUGCAACUCGCCUGCAUGAAGUCGGAGUUGCUAGUAACCGCAGGUCAGCAUACUGCGGUGA
rnacentral:rRNA from 1 species